AUUGAACGCUGGCGGCAGGCUUAACACAUGCAAGUCGAGCGGGGUGAUGGUGCUUGCACUAUCACUUAGCGGCGGACGGGUGAGUAAUGCUUAGGAAUCUGCCUAUUAGUGGGGGACAACAUCUCGAAAGGGAUGCUAAUACCGCAUACGUCCUACGGGAGAAAGCAGGGGAUCACUUGUGACCUUGCGCUAAUAGAUGAGCCUAAGUCGGAUUAGCUAGUUGGUGGGGUAAAGGCCUACCAAGGCGACGAUCUGUAGCGGGUCUGAGAGGAUGAUCCGCCACACUGGGACUGAGACACGGCCCAGAAUCCUACGGGAGGUAGCAGUGGGGAAUAUUGGACAAUGGGGGGAACCCUGAUCCAGCCAUGCCGCGUGUGUGAAGAAGGCCUUAUGGUUGUAAAGCACUUUAAGCGAGGAGGAGGCUCUUUUGGUUAAUACCCAAGAUGAGUGGACGAUACUCGCAGAAUAAGCACCGGCUAACUCUGUGCCAGCCGCCGCGGUAA
rnacentral:rRNA from 1 species